rnacentral:rRNA from 1 species
CCUUCGGACUCUGUGACAGGUGCUGCAUGGCUGUCGUCAGCUCGUGUUGUGAAAUGUUGGGUUAAGUCCGCAACGAGCGCAACCCCUAUCCUUAUUUGCCAGCGCGUAGUGGCGGGAACUCUAAGGAGACUGCCGGUGAUAAACCGGAGGAAGGUGGGGACGACAUCAAGUCAUCAUGGCCUUACGGGAUGGGCUACACACGUGCUACAAUGGCAGGUACAGAGGGCAGCGAAGCCGCGAGGUUGAGCGAAUCCCAGAAAGCUUGUCGUAGUCCGGAUUGGAGUCUGCAACUCGACUCCAUGAAGUCGGAAUCGCUAGUAAUCGUAGAUCAGAAUGCU